CUGAAAGCGUGAAAUCCGAACAAAUAAGAAAGUCAAAUUAGGUCACGCAAUAGCAAUAGCUAGAAGAAAAGAGAGCGGUGGCCGAAGAGGUUAGGGUAGAAGAAGCGGUGGAUGAAGCAUCUUGAAAUGGAAACAUUGUUGAAGAGUGAGGAAUUUCAUGGGGCAAAGAGUGAAAUUGGGAAAGUGAAAGUAGAAAAUAAGAAAAUUGGGAAAUCGUUUUAGGGUUUUGUGAGAAAGAUUUCGCGUACGAGAGAAUGAGAAGGAAAGGGUAUACAUUCUAAGUUAAGGGAUUUAACUACCGUUGA
rnacentral:lncRNA from 1 species